rnacentral:rRNA from 1 species
CCUACGGGAGGCAGCAGUGGGGAAUAUUGGACAAUGGGGGCAACCCUGAUCCAGCCAUGCCGCGUGUGUGAAGAAGGCCCUCGGGUUGUAAAGCACUUUCAGUGAGGAAGAACGCCUGGUGGUUAAUACCCAUCAGGAAAGACAUCACUCACAGAAGAAGCACCGGCUAACUCCGUGCCAGCAGCCGCGGUAAUACGGAGGGUGCGAGCGUUAAUCGGAAUUACUGGGCGUAAAGCGCGCGUAGGUGGCUUGAUAAGCCGGUUGUGAAAGCCCCGGGCUCAACCUGGGAACGGCAUCCGGAACUGUCAAGCUAGAGUGCAGGAGAGGAAGGUAGAAUUCCCUGUGUAGCGGUGAAAUGCGUAGAGAUCGGGAGGAAUACCAGUGGCGAAGGCGGCCUUCUGGACUGACACUGACACUGAGGUGCGAAAGCGUGGGUAGCAAACAGGAUUAGAUACCCUAGUAGUC